UUUCCAGUCUUUACGCUAAGCUAACCAUCUUCUGGCUCGCUGUAGCUUCAUAUUUAGCGUACAGACAUGAGCGUGGUAUCAUUCUUCUUAUCUAAUUUUCAGCAA